UGACCCUAGGUCAAGCAGGAUUACCCGCUGAGUUUAAGCAUUUCAAUAAGUGGAGGAAAAGAAACUUACCAGGAAUCCCCUAGUAACGACAAACAAAUCGGGAAAAGGCCAGCUUGAGAAUUAGGCGCCAUAGGUGUCUGAAUUAUAGUCUGGAGAAGCGUCCUCUGUGGCAGACUGGGCCCAAGUCCCUUGGAAAGAGGCGCCGGAGAGGGUGAGAGCCCCGUUGUGCCCUGACACUGUCGCACCAUGAGGCGUUGUCUACGAGUUAGGUUGUUUGGGAAUGUAGCCCUAAUCAGGCGGUAAAUUCUGUCCAAGGCUAAAUAUGCUAAGGAGUGUGUAACAACUCACCUAUCGAAUCAACUAGCACCCAAAAAUGGAUGGCGCUUAAGCGCACGACUUAUACCUAGCCGUCAGGGCAAGGGCCAGGCCCUGAUGAGUUAGAGGGCGCAGCGGUCGCCGUAAAACCCUGGGCGUGAUCCCAGACAUAGCGGCCGUUGGUGCAGAUCUUGGUGCUAGUAGAAAAUAUUCAAAUGAGAACUUUGAAGGCCGAAAAGGAGAAAGGUUCCAUGUGAACGGCACUUGCACAUGGGUUAGUCGAUCCUAAGAGAAAGGGGGAAGCCCGUUCGAUAGUGUGCUCAGUACGAGCUUCGAAAGGGAAUUGGGUUAAAAUUUUUAAACCAGGACGCGACAGCUGACGGCAACAUUAGAGAGUCCGAAGAUGUCAGCGGGGGCCUCAGGAAUAGUUAUAUUUUCUGUUUAACGGGCUGCUUACCUUGGAAACGGUUCAGUCGGAGGUAAGGUCCAGUGGUCGAAAGAGCACCACACGUUGCGUGGUGUCCGGUGUACCCUCGGUGGCCCUUCAAAAUCCAGAGGGCCGAGUGCCAUCUGUACUCGGUCGUACUCAUAACUGCAUCAGGUCUCCAAGGUGAAUAACCUCUGGUCAAUGGAACAAUGUAGGCAAGGGAAGUCGGCAAAAUGGAUCUGUAACCUCGGGAAAAGGAUUGGCCCUGAGGGCUGGGCACAGGGCUCCCAGUCCCGAACCUGUCAGCUACUGGUGUACUACUCGAGCUACUCCCGCGGUGAGAGUGGGUCACUGCGUGUCGGCCGGGGGACGGACUGGGAUUGGCUCCCUCGGGGGCCUUCCCCGAGUGACGAACAGUUGACUCAGAACUAGAACGGACAAGGGGAAUUUGACUGUUUAAUUAAAACAAAGCAUUGCGACGGUCCCUGUGAUGCUCACGCAAUGUAAUUUCUACCCAGUGCUCUGAAUGUAAAAGUGAAGAAAUUCAACCAAGCGCGGGUAAACAGUGGGAGUAACUAUGUCUCUCUUAAGGUAGCCAAAUGCCUUGUCAUAUAAUUAGUGAUGCGCAUGAAUGGAUUAAUGAGAUUCUCACUAUCCCUGUCUACUAUCCAGUGAAACCAAAACCAAGGGAACGGGCUUGGCAGAAUCAGUGGGGAAAGAAGACCCUGUUGAGGUUGACUGUAGUCCAACUUUUUAGAAAUAACUUGAGAAGUGUAGGAUAAGUAGGAGCUCUCGAGCGAAAUUGAAAUACCACUACAUUUAAACGUUAUUUCACUUAUUCCGUAAAUCAGAAAUGGGGCACAACCCCUCUUUUUAGACCCAAGGUUGGCUACGAUCGGCCGAUCCAGGAGGAAGACAUUGUCAGGUGGGGAGUUUGGCUGAAGUGGUACAUCUGUUAAAAGAUAACGCAGGUGUCCUAAGAUGAGCUCAAUGAGAACAAAAAUUUCGUGUGAAACAAAAGGGUAAAAGCUCAUGUGAUUCUGAUUUCCAGUACGAAUACAAACUGUGAAGCGUGGCUUAUCGAUCCUUUAGACCUUCAAAAUUUGAAGCUAGAGGUGUCAGAAAAGUUACCACAGGGAUAACUGGCUUGUGGCAGCCAAGUGUUCAUAGGCAGAAUUCACCAAGUGUUGGAUUGUUCACCCACCAAUAGGGAACAUGAGCUGGGUUUAGACUGUCUUGAGAUAGGUUAGUUUUACCUUACUGAUGGCCGCGUCAAAAUAGUAAUUCAACCUAGUAUGAGAGAAAUCGUUGAUUCGUACAAUUGGUCAUCGUGAUUGGUUGAAAAGCCAGUGGCACGAAGUUACCGUGCACUGGAUUAUGACUGAACGCCUCUAAGUCAGAAUUUGGGCUAGAAGAGAUGCACGCGCCUGUCGCCCGAUUGCCGACUUGCAAUAGGGGCCUUUGGCCCCCACGGGCACGUGUCGUAGGUGCAGCGACUGCGGCAGACAAGUCAUGGGCGCCUCCUCGGAGCGUAAUUCCCAUCGAGCAGUGGGUGGAAUCCUUUGUAGAUGAUUAAAUAUGCAACGGGUAUUGUAAGUGGCAGAGUGGCCUUGCCACAAAUAUCCACUGAGAUUCAACCCUUUGUCGCUUCGAUUCAU
rnacentral:rRNA from 1 species